rnacentral:ncRNA from 1 species
AGGAGCCAUAUGAGGUGAAAAUCUCACGUACGGUUUUGUAGAGUGACAAUAAGAGUGAGUGUGCUCCAUGGUGUAAAAUCCACUCUGC